GUUAGCAAUUUCCCCAGAUUGGAUAUAUCCUUAUGAUAUGUUCAAUGAAAUUGCAAACUUAAAGAUGGUCAGUUGUGCUGAGAUCAUAUAGAUCCUUUUAGUUUGGACAUGAAGCUAAUUUAGUUCAUUAGCUUCAUUCAAGAAUGCCAAAAAGCUUAAUCAUCAUGCACCAGGAAAGGGCUUAAAGACACUUGCAAUAGGUGAAACUAGCGUACGAGCUAUAGAGACAAGAAACAUUGUAGACCAAGAAAUACUUGACCAUCUGUAGAAAUGUACACUCUAAUCUACAAACUCAUAUACGUUCAAUGCUAUGCAUGUACUUCCAGUAUAUCCAGCUGAUUAUUAAAUGUUUGACACUGAUUAUUAAAUGUUUGACACUUAUAUUGUCUGUGUGAUUUUGCUGUCUAUUUCUGGUUUACACUGCAGCUUUUUCUGAUGACAGUCCACGCAUUUUCAAUAUGUAUACACUAUUCACUUAGUUAAUUGAAGUACUUUCAUGCUCCAUCACUUCCAGGAUCUGUUUUUUUGAAGACAAGAUUAGAGGGACCAGCUCAUCUCCCUGAUGCAUAACAGUGCCUAAGCUAGAGCAGCGAGCUUAUUUGCCAUUUAGCUUUAUAGUUGGUUCUGAAACACACUUGCACUGGGUAGUCUAUGCUGAAUCGUUUUGUGUUAUGCAUUUUCUAUGUAAGUGGAAUGCCAUAUAAUCAGUCUAUGAAUGGUUUAUUUGGCCACUGCCUAAGAAUAAGAAUAAUAAUGAAUCACACUGACAAUUAGUCUUACUGAAUUGUACAUUUGGUGAUGCAUGCUAAAUCCCAGAGAGAAUGAUUACAUGUUCACAAACAACAUCAGUCCAAACAAGGCUAAAUGCUGUGAAUAGCUGACAUGGCCUCCUACUUUGCUGUCAAUUUUCUUCCAUUAGGAUUUAUUUCCCUGCAAAACAUUUGGUCUUCUUUUUAUUAGUCUUCUUGCUAUCCGACUGUAAAGCACGCUUUUCGCUAGGAUUAUGCAUUCCUGUCAAUUUUUGUGAUUAACCAGCUCUCUAAACGGCCAUUAUUUGUUGAACACUUGGCGGUGAGCAUGAGAUGGACGACAGGUUUGUCUAAAUGCUCCUGUUGGCGAGCCCAAGAGUCUCCCAAAUCUCUUUCAGUUGCCAAAUGGCAUGUAAAUCACACAUCUGUCUUGAUAAAGAGGGUCAUCACAUUGUUCCAAGCACUUCUUGACGGGAACAGAGUGGGGAUGGCAAAAAGAGCAAUGGUGAAUCAGAUGUCAGAGGACGGGAAGAUGAUGCGUGUGCUCAACUGACUCGGAAGGGAAGCCUUGGUACUGAUAAGCUAAGCUAGAUGUGGAGGCAGCCUGGGUACUGACGAGCUGAACUAAGAUGCGGAAGGCCAAUCUGGAACUAAAGCAAGAAGGUGUAUAUAAAGGGAACCAACAGAUGAAAGAUGUGUAGCUGUUUCGGCUUCCUCCUUCCAUGCCCAAAAAAUGUUCUCAUGCCAUAUUAACAUGUUUGAUAG